GUGAGGGAGUGGGUGACUAGUGACAGAGGGAGGGAGAGGGGGUGACUAGUGACAGAGUGAGGGAAUGUUUGACUAGUAGCAGAGUGAGGGAGGGAAGAGAUGACUAGUGGCAAAGUGAGGGAGGGAAGGGGUGACUAGUGACCCCAUCCCUCUCUCUGUCACUAGUCACUCCCUCCCUAACUCUGUCACUGUGUCACCCGCUCCCUCACUCUGUCACUAGUUACCCCGUCACUCUGUCACUGUGUCACCCCCUCCCUCACUCUGUCACUAAUCACCCCCUCUGUCCCUAGUCACCCCCUUCCUCAC